rnacentral:misc_RNA from 1 species
CGCACAUUGCGCCCAUUAGUACUCUAGUGGGCAUGCCUGUUCGAGCGUCAUUACGACCCCUAAGCCCGGCUUAGCGUUGGGGCCCCGCCUCCGGCGGUCCCCGAAACCUAGCGUGCGGAUCCGCGGUGAUCUCUGAGCGUAGUAAGCAACCCUCGCUCCCGAGCAGCCGCGCCUCCGGCCGUAAAACCCCCCACAUCUCCAGUGGUUGACCUCGGAUCAGGUAGGAAUACCCGCUGAACUUAA